rnacentral:tRNA from 1 species
GGCUCGGUAGCUCAGUUGGUAGAGCAGGGGAUUGAAAAUCCCUGUGUCGGCCGUUCGAAUCGGCCUCGAGCCA